rnacentral:rRNA from 1 species
UGGGGUAUAUUGGACAAUGGGCGAAAGCCUGAUCCAGCCAUGCCGUGUGAGUGUAGAAGGUCUUCGGAUUGUAAAGCACUUUAAGUUGGGAGGAAGGGCAGUAAGCGAAUACCUUGCUGUUUUGACGUUACCGACAGAAUAAGCACCGGCUAACUCUGUGCCAGCAGCCGCGGUAAUACAGAGGGUGCAAGCGUUAAUCGGAAUUACUGGGCGUAAAGCGCGCGUAGGUGGUUCGUUAAGUUGAAUGUGAAAGCCCCGGGCUCAACCUGGGAACUGCAUCCAAAACUGGCGAGCUAGAGUGGGGCAGAGGGUGGUGGAAAUUCCUGUGUAGCGGUGAAAUGCGUAGAUAUAGGAAGGAACACCAGUGGCGAAGGCGACCACCUGGGCUCAUACUGACACUGAGGUGCGAAAGCGUGGGGAGCAAACAGG